ACGGGGGAUGCAAGCGUUAUCCCGGAAUCAUUGGGCGUAAAGCGCCUGUAGGUUGUUUAAUAAGUCUGUGUUAAAGACUAGGGCUUAACCNUAGAAAAGCAAUGGAAACUACUAGACUAGAGUAUGGCAGGGGUAGAGGGAAUUUCUAGUGUAGCGGUGAAAUGCGUAGAUAUUAGAAAGAACACCGGUGGGCGAAAGCGCUCUACUGGACCAUUACUGACACUCAGAGGCGAAAGCUAGGGUAGCAAAAGGGGAUUAGAUACCCCUGUAGUCCUAGCCGUAAACGAUGGAUACUAGAUGUUGUGCAUCAUGUACAGUAUCGUAGCUAACGCGUUAAGUAUCCCGCCUGGGGAGUACGCUCGCAAGGGUGAAACUCAAAGGAAUUGACGGGGGCCCGCACAAGCGGUGGAGCAUGUGGUUUAAUUCGAUGCAACGCGAAGAACCUUACCAGGACUUGACAUACUACAAAUUCUUUUGAGAAAAAGAAGUGCCUUCGGGAAUGUAGAUACAGGUGGUGCAUGGCUGUCGUCAGCUCGUGUCGUGAGAUGUUGGGUUAAGUCCCGCAACGAGCGCAACCCUUAUUUUUAGUUACCAAUUCGUUGGGUUCUCUAGAAAGACUGCCGGUGACAAACCGGAGGAAGGUGAGGAUGACGUCAAGUCAGCAUGCCCCUUAUGUCCUGGGCUACACACGUGCUACAAUGGUUAAGACAAAGAGUUGCGAGCUCGCAAGGGUCAGCUAAUCUCAUAAACUUAGCCUAAGUUCAGAUUGUAGGCUGCAACUCGCCUACAUGAAGUUGGAAUCGCUAGUAAUCGCUGGUCAGCCAUACAGCGGUGAAUCCGUUCCCGGGCCUUGUACACACCGCCCGUCACACCAUGGGAGCUGGUCAUACCCAAAACCGUUUGCUUAACCAUUUGGAGAGCGGCGUCUAAGGUAGGGCUAGUGACUGGGGUGAAGUCGUAACAAGGUAACCGUA
rnacentral:rRNA from 1 species